rnacentral:rRNA from 1 species
AGCGAACGCUGGCGGCAGGCUUAACACAUGCAAGUCGAACGGUCCUUCGGGAUAGUGGCGGACGGGUGAGUAACACGUGGGAACGUACCCUUAGGUUCGGAACAACACAGGGAAACUUGUGCUAAUACCGGAUAAGCCCUUCGGGGGAAAGAUUUAUCGCCUUUGGAGCGGCCCGCGUCUGAUUAGCUUGUUGGUGAGGUAAUGGCUCACCAAGGCUACGAUCAGUAGCUGGUCUGAGAGGAUGGCCAGCCACACUGGGACUGAGACACGGCCCAGACUCCUACGGGAGGCAGCAGUGGGGAAUCUUGCGCAAUGGGCGAAAGCCUGACGCAGCCAUGCCGCGUGGAUGAUAAGGUCUUAGGAUUGUAAAAUCCUUUCACCGGGGACGAUAAUGACGGUACCCGGAGAAGAAGCCCCGGCUAACUUCGUGCCAGCAGCCGCGGUAA